CAAAGAUUGGAUAAAUCGUUGUAAGAGGCAGGACAGUUUUAAUCCGAAUCAUAGCCGAAUAUGUUCUAUUCAUUUUACCAGUAAUGAUUUUGAGAGAGACCUGAAGAAUGAACUUUUAGGAUUACCUACAAAAAAAAUGUUAAAGAAAAUGGCUGUUCCCACGAUGCAUUUGCCACUUCAGAGUAAA